rnacentral:rRNA from 1 species
GAUGAACGCUAGCGACAGGCCUAACACAUGCAAGUCGAGGGGCAGCACAAGGAGCAAUCUGAGGUGGCGACCGGCGCACGGGUGAGUAACACGUAUGCAACCUGCCUGUAAGAGGGGGAUAACCCGUUGAAAGACGGACUAAUACCGCAUAAUACUGAAUAAUCGCAUGGUUAAACAGUUAAACAUUUAUGGCUUACAGAUGGGCAUGCGCAUGAUUAGCUAGUUGGUGAGGUAACGGCUCACCAAGGCAACGAUCAUUAGGGGUUCUGAGAGGAAGGUCCCCCACACUGGUACUGGGACACGGACCAGACUCCUACGGGAGGCAGCAGUGAGGAAUAUUGGUCAAUGGGCGAGAGCCUGAACCAGCCAAGUCGCGUGAAGGAUGAAGGUUUUAUGAAUUGUAAACUUCUUUUGCAGGGGAAUAAAGUACGGUACGUGUACCGUUUUGUAUGUACUCUGCGAAUAAGGAUCGGCUAACUCCGUGCCAGCAGCCGAC